GGGCUAGCGUUGUCCGGAAUCAUUGGGCGUAAAGAGCGUGUAGGCGGUCCGGUAAGUCCGCUGUGAAAGUCGGGGGCUCAACCCUCGAAUGCCGGUGGAUACUGUCGGGCUAGAGUGCGGAAGAGGCGAGUGGAAUUCCUGGCGUAGCGGUGAAAUGCGCAGAUAUCAGGAGGAACACCUAUUGCGAAGGCAGCUCGCUGGGACGUAACUGACGCUGAGACGCGAAAGCGUGGGGAGCAAACAGG
rnacentral:rRNA from 1 species